rnacentral:rRNA from 1 species
AGUGAACGCUGGCGGUAGGCCUAACACAUGCAAGUCGAACGGCCGCACAGUAAGAGCUUGCUCUUACGGGUGGCGAGUGGCGGACGGGUGAGGAAUACAUCGGAAUCUACUUUUUCGUGGGGGAUUACGUAGGGAAACUUACGCUAAUACCGCAUACGACCUACGGGUGAAAGCAGGGGAUCUUCGGACCUUGCGCGAUUGAAUGAGCCGAUGUCGGAUUAGCUAGUUGGCGGGGUAAAGGCCCACCAAGGCGACGAUCCGUAGCUGGUCUGAGAGGAUGAUCAGCCACACUGGAACUGAGACACGGUCCAGACUCCUACGGGAGGCAGCAGUGGGGAAUAUUGGACAAUGGGCGCAAGCCUGAUCCAGCCAUACCGCGUGGGUGAAGAAGGCCUUCGGGUUGUAAAGCCCUUUUGUUGGGAAAGAAAAGCAGCAGGUUAAUACCCCGCUGUUCUGACGGUACCCAAAGAAUAAGCACCGGCUAACUUCGUG